UUGUCAGGGAACUGCCAUCGGAAGGAAGGGAGGUGAAAGGACUCAGACAGGUUGGAAGAGAUUCAGCAGCUGAAGAGGGAACCAGCAAGGGGAGAGAAGCUGAACUGAGGGAGGUGAAAGGGCUCAGACAGGUUGGAAGAGACUCAGCAGCGGAAGAGGAAACCAGCAGGGGGAGACAAGCUGAACUGAGGGAAAGGGAGCUGGGGGGAUGGCUCAGAGAUACUUCCAGCGAAAACAGUGGUGAGGUUUCCGGACCUCCUGUAGCGACACCCACUCCUCGCCGGAAACUGUCACGCAGAGAGUCCAGAAGACGUGUUUCCGUUAAGGAGCUUUUAUGUUGGAAGCGAUUACGAAAGCAACCACUGUCGGAAUCUUCUAGUGACUAAGAGGAGCCAUGUCAGAGGGGCUCAGUCACAGACAGAGGUUUGUGGACUUGAACAAACUCUGAGGGAAUACGAUUUUACGCACAAGCAGCUCAUAAUCCCAUCACAGCAUUCCGACAGUCUUUGAACGCAGCUUGUGCAGGAGACGGCAUAAUAAUGAGCAACCCAGCAGGAACCGGAGAAGCAGGGGCUGGAGCGGGUCCAAGCCUGGAAGAAAGGUACCGGGUGUUAGAGGUCCAGCUGGCGCUGCAGACGGCGAGGCUGGAGGAGAGGAGGGCUCAAGAUGCAGAC